GCAUUGGUGGUUUAGUGGUAGAAUGCUCGCCUGCCGCGCGAGUGACCCGGGUUCGAUUUCUGGCCAAUGUU